rnacentral:rRNA from 1 species
CGUGCAGGUGGUUUGGUAAGUUGGGUAUGAAAUCUCCUGGCUUAACUAGGAGAGGUUGCUCAAAACUACCAGACUAGAGGACGGUAGAGGAAGGUGGAAUUCCCGGUGUAGUAGUGAAAUGCGUAGAUAUCGGGAGGAACACCAGUGGCGAAGGCGGCCUUCUGGGUCGUUCCUGACACUAAGACGCGAAAGCAUGGGUAGCAAACG